UCGAAAUAAGCUCUAAUGAAGCCUAAUGGACCAUAAUUUGUUUCCUCACACAUCAUCACAAGCUAUCACCGACAUCGCAUAAUGGCCAUUCAGCUAAACGAUCGAUCUGAAGUGCAGUAGAACAAUGACAAAUAUCUACGAGAGUGACAAUAGCUUAACCCAGAGAUACAUAAGGGGCCCUACGUCUGUCGUAAGUAGAGAGAGAAUCACCGCCAACACCUGAUUCUCAGCGUCGCCUUGUUCUGAAGUCUUUCUACUGGCAACAGUUGCGAAUCUAUUGCCAGAACUUGAACUUCUGCUCGUUAGCCCAUCAACAGAUUCAUCCCUUCGGAACAAUUAAAUGAAAACAACUGCCUUUUAAAACAGAUUUAAAUUAUUUCUACGAAUUUAAAGUACUAUAUCGAACACAUUGAUGCUUUAGUUUUUUAAUGGCAUAUUAAUAGUAAAUUUUCCAUCAUGCAAAGUAAUUGUUUUAGUAGAGAGCACCAUAGGAAGGAGGCGCAUAUCUUGCUGACAAAGCAAUAGCCAACUGCAAGCUACUCUAAUUUACACGAAGCUCCCUUGGAAACGCCGACGCUGAACCACAUUGACUUGACUGAGUGCAAGUCAGGAUCCGAAGCCGCUGUAUUGCACGGGCACAAUUGAUGGCUACACGUCUCAUCAUACAAAAGUUUUGGCCGCUAUUAUGAAUAGUUGCAGUUUUUGAACCACUCAUGCGGGCGGCUACGUCCGCGUUCCCAACGUAAAAUACACCUAAUACGGGAAUAUUGACGCCAUUCUCCAAGCACGCAGCUCGUAUACUGAACGUCAUUUUUUUACGCCUGUUACGUGCCAGCGAAAAAAUGUUUAGUCACCGAGUGAUUUACUUUGACGAGACGCCGAAGUGUGACUGGUCAGUCUCAUAGCAUAUCUAUUUCGCACACAUAUGCAUAUAUAUAAUUCCAUACUGUGUGCGAAAAAACUUUGGGCAAUGGCUAAAUUUGACAAAAUAUUCUAAGAACAACGAGAGGUUUGAGGAAGAUCGAAAUCCUUCAAGUGUACAUGGGGACGUGUAAAAAUGUUUGACGUCACAAGUUAAUCUGAUUUAUCAAUUCAGGACAAGUGGGAAAUCACUCUAGCUAUUUUUUUUUGCCGAAUACGUUCACGAAUACGAAACAAGUUUGGUACGGGCAGCACUCGUCGAUAUUAUUAGAUACAGGCCUACAGAUUGUUUGUGUAACUGUGACCAAUGGCGAGGUGACACCAAAAAGUGAGCGCCAAUAAUUACUGGCGGACCUAACGUUGAUAUAGGAACCACCACUAAGAAUAGUAAUUUGGCCUCUAGGUUUAUAUUCAUUUGCGAUAUUUAUCUAUUCACAUAAUUCAGCCGGUUCAAUGAGAGCCCGCUGAGAUUUCAUCUAGAAGGUGUUUUUAUCUCCCUGCCUGAGUGAACACGACGAUGCAUUGGUACAACAUAAUUUGACUGUAGAGAACGAACGAACGAAAAAGGAAGAAUAUAGACCAGUAAUCGUCAUAGUAGCAGGUCUUUUAUGUUAAAUUAAAUUUAGCUAAAUAGUAAUAACUAGUAAAAAAAAAAGCUCGUGCAUUUUUUUUCGCCGGAAAAUUUGUUUCGUGCUUCGCACGUACAAUUGCCAGCGUCUGAUGGUCGAACAUUGAAAGCAUCUUUCGACGAUACAACGACGGUAGAUUCGAAGGUUUUAAAAGUUCUCGUUCACGAAAAACGUCAUCAUUUUUCUGAUACCCGUCACACGAACGAUACACGACGUCUGGAUAUCGACACUAACCAAUCAAAUUUUACCAGCAUUUCAUACUUGUUAGGAAAACAGAAGACCCAACAUCGCCUUGAUGCACUAUGCCUACCUACCAAAUACUGCCUUAUUUCGGAGCCUAGUUUUGCUGACGAGUAUUUAGUUAGGUAACUAAUGUAAUUAUCUAUCUUUGUCGGAAUAAACUUAGCACAGUGUCCGCCAGAGUUGUAUGGAGUCCUUAUGCAUGGCAGAGUCAACUGUACAAUGAAAAUAAAGUUGUGUUUCGGGGCGAUAUGUCAUUAUCAUACGAUCAAGAAAAACGAAGAUCAAACAGAGUCGGAUCCCAUAUGACAAGGUUUCUAUAAUCGACAGUGAUUUUCUUUGUUAUCUGUUAAGCGUGUUGUCAGAUUUUCAGGAUUGGUCACCAAGCCGUGUGUUCGAAGUCUUGUACCUUAACAAACGAAUCGGCAACAGUAUAAGUGAAAUAUUAAUGUGGAUACUCGGUUAGGUUAACCUACACGGCUAUUAAGGUUGCCUAUUCUGUUCAAGGUUGCGGUCUGCUACCCAAAAAUGGGUUUAAAAUGGAAUAUACCUUCUACAAUAAGGUAGUCACCUUCUACAAUCAAUCUCGCAGAUACCCGUUGCUCAAAUAAUGAGUUGCUUCCUAUGCAGGUGUAAC
rnacentral:lncRNA from 1 species